rnacentral:misc_RNA from 1 species
GCAAGAUUUUGGAGGCAGUCAAGGUAAUAAAUAGGACAUCUGUGGUGACUCUAUUCUACAGAGACAUCAUUUAUUUAUGUGAUGCCCAUAGGGCAUUUGUCAUGAUAUUUUGAUUUGAUAUUUAACAAUCCUUGUAAUUAAAGGUUUGUUUUUUUUUGCAAAUUUUGUUAUAUUGGAUGGCCCAAGUUGCCCUGAUUUUGAAGCCAGUGUUUCUUGAACAGCAUUACUAUUCUGCCUCUUUGUGAUUUUUGCCCCUCAAAUUCUCACUCUUGUUUUCUUUGUUUAAAUUUAGGCCAAUUUCAAUGAUAAGUUUG